rnacentral:lncRNA from 12 species
GGGCGCGGCCGGGCCUCGGCCCCUCACGCAGCGCGCGACCUUGGUGGGUUUAAUGUCCCGCUGCCAAAUCCAAUACAGUGCAGAAAGAGCAGGUUCCUAAAUGGAGCUGAAGAAUAGGGUUUCCAUGUGAGCGAUUGAGCUCCUUGUGGAAUCCUCAGUGGCUGAGGACAAAUCAACGCACCUUCAUGAAGUCUGAAUCUUGGAAGGGACUGAGAGCAGAAGAUUAUCUACUGUGACCUGUUCCUGCAAUUUUUGAGUGAGUCCUAUCCUGCAAAUUGCUCUUUUCUCACUUUGUAAUUCCACUUCCAUUUUAAUUAGAACACGAGUAUUCCUAUUCAGAUCAUGUGAUUGAUUCCUAAGCAAGUAUAGUGUGAUCUUCUCAAAUUUUUUGCUUUGC